AUACGUAGGGGGCAAGCGUUGUCCGGAAUUACUGGGCGUAAAGCGCACGCAGGCUGACUUAUAAGUCGGUAGUCUAAUGCGGAGGCUCAACUUCCGUUUAUCUAUCGAUACUGUAAAUCUGGAGUAUGUGAGAGGGAAGCGGAAUUCCCGGUGUAGCGGUGAAAUGCGUAGAUAUCAGGAGGAAAACCAGUGGCGAAGGCGGCUUCUUGGCUAAAUACUGGCGCUCAUGGGCGAAAGCUAGGGCAGCGAACGGUGUUAGAUACCCCGGUGGUCCUAGCCGUAAACGAGUGAUACUAGGUGUGGGUGUCGCAGGGCAUCCGUGCCGCAGUUAACGCGUUAAGUAUCCCGCCUGGGGACUACGGUCGCAAGACUGAAACUCAAAGGAAUUGACGGGG
rnacentral:rRNA from 1 species